UUAAAUGAGAGUUUGAUCCUGGCUCAGGACGAACGCUGGCGGCGUGCCUAAUACAUGCAAGUAGAACGCUGACUACUUUAGCUUGCUAGAGUAGAAGGAGUUGCGAACGGGUGAGUAACGCGUAGGUAACCUGCCUACUAGCGGGGGAUAACUAUUGGAAACGAUAGCUAAUACCGCAUAACAGUGUUUAACACAUGUUAGAUGCUUGAAAGAUGCAAUUGCAUCACUAGUAGAUGGACCUGCG
rnacentral:rRNA from 1 species